GAGCCAAGAUGGCCGAAUAGGAACAGCUCCGGUCUACAGCUCCCAGCCUGAGCGACGCAGAAGACGGUGAUUUCUGCAUUUCCAUCUGAGCCAUGGAAGAUGUGCCUGCUUCCCCUUCACCUUCCACUACGAUUGAAAAUUUCCUGAGACCUCCUCAGAAGCCGAGCAGGUGCCAGCUUCAUGCUUCCUUUACAGCCUGUGGAAGCGUGAGCCAAUUAAACCUCUUCUCUUUAUAAAUUACCCAGUCUCAUGUAUUUCUUUAUAGCAAUAUAAAAACAGACUAAUACAG
rnacentral:lncRNA from 10 species